GGCCAUAGCUCAGUGGUGGAGCAUCUGUCUUGCAUGAUGGUGGUCCCAGCUUCAAUCCCUGGCAUCUCCA